UAAAUCUUAAAUAUCUGGUAUCA
rnacentral:siRNA from 1 species